AACGCGAAGAACCUUACCAGGGCUUGACAUCCCUCUGACGCGAGUAGAGAUAUUCGUUCCCUUCGGGGGCAGAGGAGACAGGUGGUGCAUGGUUGUCGUCUAGCUCGUGUCGUGAGAUGUUGGGUUAAGUCCCGCAAACGAGCCGCAAACCCUUGAUCUGUGUUACCAGCGCGUAAUGGCGGGGACUCACAGAUGACUGCCGGUGACAAACCGGAGGAAGGCGGGGAUGACGUCAAAUCAUCAUGCCCCUUAUGCCCUGGGCGACACACGUGCUACAAUGGGCGGUACAACGGGAAGCGAGAAGGCGACUUUAAGCAAAAACCCUAAAAACCGUUCGUAGUUCGGAU
rnacentral:rRNA from 1 species